rnacentral:tRNA from 1 species
AAAGGGAGACCUAAUUCAGGUAAAAGACGAAAAAAAAGUAGUCGCUACCAAGAAUCAAUCCCAAAAGGUCGGAGCGAGGCGAAAUUGGCUUUCAAACUAGGUUCUGGGUUCAAACAAGACCUGAAUCAGGAACAAGGGCUAUUAGCUCAGGUGGUUAGAGCGCACCCCUGAUAAGGGUGAGGUCCCUGGUUCGAGUCCAGGAUGGCCCACCUGUACAGGUGGCAAAAAGAAAGAAAAGAAGCGAGGAAUCAGCACCUUAUCUUAUUUAUAUAGUAAGAGAGAAUGCUGGCUCUGAGUUCAGAGUCCAGAGGAACCUUGAAAACUGCAUAGAGCUAGGUGAAAAAGCCAAAAAAGAAGACCGCAAG